rnacentral:rRNA from 1 species
GAUGAACGCUGGCGGCAUGCCUAAUACAUGCAAGUCGAGCGAACAGAUGAAGUGCUUGCACUUCUGACGUUAGCGGCGAACGGGUGAGUAACACGUAAGGAAUCUACCUAUAAGCGGGGGAUAACAUUCGGAAACGGGUGCUAAUACCGCAUAAUAUCUUCUUCCGCAUGGAAGAAGAUUGAAAGACGGCUCUGCUGUCACUUAUAGAUGACCUUGCGGUGCAUUAGUUAGUUGGUGGGGUAAUGGCCUACCAAGACGAUGAUGCAUAGCCGACCGGAGGGGGUGAUCGGCCACAUUGGGACUGAGACACGGCCCAAACUCCUACGGGAGGCAGCAGUAGGGAAUCUUCCGCAAUGGGCGAAAGCCUGACGGAGCAAUGCCGCGUGAGUGAAGAAGGGUUUCGGCUCGUAAAACUCUGUUGUUAAGGAAGAACACUUGAGGUAGUAACUGGCCUUGAGAUGACGGUACUUAACCAGAAAGCCACGGCUAACUACGUGCCAGCAGCCGCCGUAA